rnacentral:rRNA from 1 species
CCCAGUUCGGAUUGCAGGCUGAAACUCGCCUGCAUGAAGCCGGAGUUGCUAGUAAUCGCAAAUCAGAAUGUUGCGGUGAAUACGUUCCCGGGCCUUGUACACACCGCCCGUCACACCAUGAGAGUUGGCAACACCCGAAGUCCGUGAGGUAACCGUAAGGAGCCAGCGGCCGAAGGUGGGGUUAAUGAUUGGGGUGAAGUCGUAACAAGGUAGCCGUAGGAGAACCUGCGGCUGGAUCACCUCCUUUCUAAGGAG